UACGAAGGGGGCUAGCGUUGUUCGGAAUUACUGGGCGUAAAGCGCACGUAGGCGGAUCGAUCAGUCAGGGGUGAAAUCCCAGAGCUCAACUCUGGAACUGCCUUUGAUACUGUCGAUCUAGAGUAUGGAAGAGGUGAGUGGAAUUCCGAGUGUAGAGGUGAAAUUCGUAGAUAUUCGCAAGAACACCAGUGGCGAAGGCGGCUCACUGGCCCGGUACUGACGCUGAGGUACGGAAAGCGUGGGGAG
rnacentral:rRNA from 1 species